UGAACAACACCUGUGCCCAGGCUCUGUUCUAAGCACAAACUUCUUGCCCUUGUAAAAGCUCCUGGUCAGGGAGUCAGAUGAGAAACAAUUUCAAGCGGUGAUAAGGGAGCAUUAGGAGGAAAAAUAAAGCCAGGUGAGGAGAUAAAUAAACAAAUCACUACGAUGGGAACUAAACGAAUGAGCCUUUUUAGAUGGGAGAGGGGAGAAGCCUUCUGGAAAUGUGAAGCAGAAGCAGAAACCUGGCUGAAGGACAAAAGUGAGCCAUGCAAAACCUGGGGGACAGCAUCGCAGUGGGGGGCGCAGCAAUUGCCAAGGGCCUGAGGCAGGACUGAGCUUGGCUUGACUGUGUUUGUACUGCCUGGAAGUGGGGCCUUCAGCCCUCUGUGGCUCAUCGGAAACUUUGGGCCAGGGAAGGUGUUUCUGCUCAUUCCUAUCUGCUCCCUGCUUGGCUCUUUCUAGGACCAAAGCGGGUGUCUUUAACCCCUCUAGGCUGAGCUGGCAAGACAAGUACAGAGCCCCCUUGGCCGUCUUUUUCCCGUGGUUGGCCACCUGGCCCCCGGCCUGGGCUUGGGAAAUGCUUCCGGAGUUCACACUCCUCACUGCCCACUCUGAACCCCGCUGGCGAUCAGGGCAGCACACUAUUUCCAGAUGGGCAUGGGAGACUGUUUUAUUUUUAAAAAUAGCUUUUGUUGGUUUUUGUCUUAUUACAAAAGUAAUAUUUGUUCAUUAUAGAAACUGGAGAAAACAGCUAGCAAAAGGAAGAGUAUAAAACAGCCACUAAUCCUAUUACCCAGAGAGAACCACUGCUGGCACUUGGGUAUCUCCAGAAUUUUCCAUGACUCACUGACCUGACCCCUCCAUCUCCCCAACUCACUGUGCCCCAAGGUAUCUUGGAAAAAUCCCCAAAGAAGAUAUGGCAGUUUUGUUUGUGUGGCCUGUGAGCUGGGAUGGGAGCUGAGUCCAGAGUCCAUAAGAGCCCCCACCCACUCUCCUGGGCAGCAACGAAAGACCACCAGGAAUGUCCAACAGGGAAUAGAUUUAUGGCCAAGCUAGGAGGAGCAUCCCUGUGAAGACACCUACGGAGUCGUUUCGACAGGAGAAUUUACAAGCGCCCUCCUUCGCUUGCUACUGAGUGGAAAAAUACACUGAGCCCAGAGCAGUGAACUCCUUGCCAAGGCCUGUGACUCAUCUCCAAGUCAUAAAUAACGGGUCCCUCAUGACAAAGCAGAGAAGGGAGCCGGGCCCAGGGCCACGUAUUUAUUAGAAAAGAGAGUGGAACCAUUAGUCGGGGGCUUGGUUUCCAGGAAACUCAAACCACACCACAGUAGAGAAGGUCAGGAGGCCCUUCCACAGGAAUUCAGACCUGACAUUUUUUUCAUAUUCUCAAACUUUCAUGUGGGGAGGAGACCCCUGCUACAUCCACCAGAGGCAUCCCCUGGCCACCCAGUUCCAUGGGCCAGGAGGAGUCUUGCUGUUUCCCAGGCCCUGGGGGCCACUCCACCAUCCCCUGCCCCUGAUACUUUUGAUGGCGACCAGGGGAGGCAGAACCGCCUGUCUCGGUGGCCCCACUGACAUCAGGAAACGUUUAGUGCCUGAGAAGUGUGACCUCUGACGAGUUACGACUCCUCCUGAGGCCUCCAUUUCACAAACCUUCCAGGACCGCUGUCAGAAUGAGGUGGGGGAGUAGACUCAGGACCGUGCAAGCCCAUGGGAUGAGCUCACAGCCAUGAGCGGCAUGGUCUAAGGGAAGAAGGAAAGAGAAGAGAAGAGAAAAGUUGGCUCUGCUGGUCUCUCCCUCUGGGUUGUUCCCCUUGUCUCUGUGCUCUUCUCUGUCUCUGAUUAUAAAGGACUCAGAAUCUAAAGGAUAAUAGAUGCAGAUGGAUGGAACAAUAAAUCGUGUGGACUGUUGAUAAAA